rnacentral:rRNA from 1 species
CUACGGGGCGCUGCAGUGGGGAAUAUUGCACAAUGGGCGCAAGCCUGAUGCAGCAACGCCGCGUGAGGGAUGAAGGCCUUCGGGUUGUAAACCUCUUUUAGCAGGGAAGAAGCGAAAGUGACGGUACCUGCAGAAAAAGCACCGGCUAACUACGUGCCAGCAGCCGCGGGAAUACGUAGGGUGCAAGCGUUGUCCGGAAUUAUUGGGCGUAAAGAGCUCGUAGGCGGUUUGUCACGUCUGCUGUGAAAAUCCAAGGCUCAACCUUGGACUUGCAGUGGGUACGGGCAGGCUAGAGUGCGGUAGGGGAGAUGGGAAUUCCUGGUGUAGCGGUGGAAUGCGCAGAUAUCAGGAGGAACACCAAUGGCGAAGGCACAUCUCUGGGCCGUAACUGACGCUGAGGAGCGAAAGCGUGGGGAGCGAACAGGAUUAGAUACCCCAGUAGUC